UAGUCUCUCAUAGAAACUUCUGGCCUCUGGACACUGUGGGAGCAACUUUUCCUUUAUUAGACUGUCUCCUCUUUAACUGUACCUAGAAGAUACUUUAGCACAGCAAGCAUCUCUUUUAUGCUUACAUUAUGCAGUUAUGCAGACUUGGUGUACGUCCUUCAAGGACAGUCUAAGAAUCUUUGAUUCUAUUUCUGCUGGAUACAUUGUUGCAGAGAUGAAUAUUGCAGCAUGACUGGGAAGCCUGUCCUUCAUUACUUCAAUUGAAGAAGAAGAAUGGAGUCCAUCCGGUGGCUCCUGGCAGCAGCUGGAGUAGAGUUUGAGGAAGAACUUUUUGAAACCCAUGAAGAGUUUGAGAAGUUAAUCCAAGGUGGAACCCUGAUAAGAGAAGGAGAUGAACCUUGAAUACAUCCUCCACCGAGCUACAACAAGAUUCUUCCCCGUUUAUGAGAAGGCCCUGAGAGACCACGGGCAAGACUUUCUUGUGGGCAAUCGGCUGAGCUUGGCUGAUGUCCAGCUCCUUGAAGUCAUCUUAAUGGCUGAAGAAUGCAAAGCCAGUGUUCUCUCGGGUUUCCCUCUGCUACAGGACUUCAAGGUGAGAACCAGCCAAAUUCCUACAAUUAACAGCUUCCUCCAACCUGGAAGCCAGAGGAAGCCUCCUUUGGAGGAGCGAUCCAUUGGGACUGCAAAGGACAUAUUCAAAUUUGAAUGAGGACUGUUUCUUAAAAACAUGAGCAAUAUAGUAGCUGAGUAUUAACAGCUACAGAGGCUGGAGUUACUCAGUAAGUAUACUGAGUAACUUGACACUGCAUUCAUAAAAAGACACUCACUAAGUAUAUGGCCAGAGAAAUAUCCUGAAGUUAGUAAUAAAUGUUAGGAAUCUUAGUAUGUUAGCAAUGUUAGAAUGUUAGUAAUGGAAAUAUUAAAUGUGUAAGAGAAAAACUACUAGAAGCUUAUCAAUAAACUACAAGAACCAACUCUUGUUUGAAGUAAGACAGGCUACCAAGACAGAAUUCAGAAAAUCCAAGGAGCCCUCGGCCUUCUGUAUGAUCCUAGAAUAAACUUGUAUGUAGCAAGUGAAA
rnacentral:lncRNA from 1 species